UAUUUUUUUUGUAGAGAUGGGAUUUCACCAUGUUGCCCAUGCUAGUCUCGAAUUCCUGAGCUCAAGUGAUCUGCCCACCUCGGCCUCUCGAAGUGCUGGGAUUACAGACAUGAGCCACCACGCCCAGCCAAAUCGCCAUUCUAUUUUGGUCUCUGAAACUUAACAUUUUGCUUGAGGAAGGGCUCAUAUACAAGGAUAUUGAAACAAAUGUUGUUUUAUAUGAUAAUAAUGCCUGAGGAUCAAUACAUAUACAUUUCAUAUCCCAAUAUCCCAAAAAUAGCAAUCAGUGUAUUUACAGAUGCUGCAGAUCACUCUGAGGAGUUGAUUCUGAGGCUGUCCCUGAGGACCCAUGCCAGGAGAUGUGUCCUGGAAGUGACUGUCACAGAUGCAGUCCCCCAGAUGAUGAGGCAAGGCCUGAGGGUCUGCACUUGUUGGGGGAAAGGUUUAUUACAACUUCUCCCAAGCAAACGGAAAGCAAUACCUAGAGCAGCUCCAGUGCUUGUGUGUGGCACACCUCUGCAGGGGCCUGUGUGGCUUUGUCCUCAUUUCAGUUAGAGUUGAGAGUACAACCCAUUUUCGUGUAUGGUGGACCUUAUAAAACCUAAGUCUGCUUUCUACUCAGUAAACGUUUAGACAUUUUUCUUUUCACAUUAUUCUCCAGUUACUAAGAUUUUGUUUGUUGUCAAAUCCACAUAAGCCUUCUGUUUUUUGGUGAAGACAUAUUAUAGACUUAGAGUUUUAUUUCUUUCCACAAAUAUUUUGACAUUGUCAUUUUUGCCUUAGUUUAUACAACUAUUUUUCUAAGCUCUAGAUUUAGUUUUCACAUGGAUACCUCUGGUGUUUUAAUUCUGGCUUCCGCUUUUGGUUAGCAGUUGUGACUUAGAUUUCUUAUCUACAUGCUACUUCUGAAGCCUGGUUCUGUUGUGCUGCCUUUAGCAAGUGGUACACAGAAAAGCACUAAACGAUGAAAAGAUUAUUUUUGUUCCUUUCUGUCAAAUUCAAAGGCUAAUAUGGAGGGUUUUUUGAGUUUAUUUAUGAUCACUGGCCAAUAGCUCUAAGCUGUGAUAUCAUGUUCUUUGUCAUAGAAAUUGAAGAGACAGUGGAGAAAUACUUAUUUUAAAAUAGUGCCUUGAGCUGGAGGCAUGGGAGCGGGCCUGGGGAGGCCACGGGCACUCAU
rnacentral:lncRNA from 1 species